GAUCCUGGCUCAGGAUGAACGCUAGCUACAGGCUUAACACAUGCAAGUCGAGGGGCAGCAUAACGAAAGCUGUCUUUGUUGAGUGGCGACCGGCGCACGGGUGAGUAACGCGUAUCCAACCUUCCCUAUACUAGAGAAUAGCCCGGCGAAAGUCGGAUUAAUGCUCUAUGUUCUUCUUUGAUGGCAUCUGACGAGAAGCAAAGGUUUACCGGUAUAGGAUGGGGAUGCGUCUGAUUAGGUUGUUGGCGGGGUAACGGCCCACCAAGCCUACGAUCAGUAGGGGUUCUGAGAGGAAGGUCCCCCACAUUGGUACUGAGACACGGACCAAACUCCUACGGGAGGCAGCAGUGAGGAAUAUUGGUCAAUGGGCGAGAGCCUGAACCAGCCAAGUAGCGUGCAAGGAUGACUGCCCUAUGGGUUGUAAACUGCUUUUAUGCGGGAAUAAAGUCAGGUACGUGUACCUGUUUGUAUGUACCGCAUGAAUAAGGACCGGCUAAUUCCGUGCCAGCAGCGGC
rnacentral:rRNA from 1 species